AUUGAACGCUGGCGGCAGGCCUAACACAUGCAAGUCGAGCGGAUGAAGGGAGCUUGCUCCUGGAUUCAGCGGCGGACGGGUGAGUAAUGCCUAGGAAUCUGCCUGGUAGUGGGGGAUAACGUCCGGAAACGGGCGCUAAUACCGCAUACGUCCUGAGGGAGAAAGUGGGGGAUCUUCGGACCUCACGCUAUCAGAUGAGCCUAGGUCGGAUUAGCUAGUUGGUGGGGUAAAGGCCUACCAAGGCGACGAUCCGUAACUGGUCUGAGAGGAUGAUCAGUCACACUGGAACUGAGACACGGUCCAGACUCCUACGGGAGGCAGCAGUGGGGAAUAUUGGACGACGGGCGAAAGCCUGAUCCAGCCAUGGCGCGUGUGUGAAGAAGGUCUUCGGAUUGUAAAGCACUUUAAGGUGGGAGGAAGGGCAGUAAGUUAAUACCUUGCUGUUUUGACGUUACCAACAGAAGAAGCACCGGCUAACUUCGUG
rnacentral:rRNA from 1 species